CCUAACCCCACUAAACUCUUUGGACUGCGGGAGGAAGUCGGAGAACUGGGAGAGAAAACUACACAAACAUGGAGAGUGUCAUGGUCUAGCUACGCACCAGAUUACCAGAUGCAAAUCUCCACCAUAGAACCCCCAUCCGGACGCUGGACCUCCUGACAGUCUCACGGUUUUACUCACUCCACGCACCUGCCUGCCUCCCUGUCUCAACGUCAGGAAUUUCGGAUUACUUACCACUCACCUGCACCACUCUCCCCUCCACGCCACCGAUCCACCUGCACCAGUGACUCUGACCCUUUCCCGGGACCCAGCCAUCCAGUCUGACUCUCCCUUUGGUCCAAACCACAGAACUGUAGUUUCCACAGUUGAAAAAUCACUGAUUGUUUACAUAACUCGGGUCGCAUAAGCGCCCCUUAGUUUUGGUGUU